AGAACGCUGAAGAGAGGAGCUUGCUCUUCUUGGAUGAGUUGCGAACGGGUGAGUAACGCGUAGGUAACCUGCCUUGUAGCGGGGGAUAACUAUUGGAAACGAUAGCUAAUACCGCAUAACAAUGGAUGACACAUGUCAUUUAUUUGAAAGGGGCAAUUGCUCCACUACAAGAUGGACCUGCGUUGUAUUAGCUAGUAGGUGAGGUAACGGCUCACCUAGGCGACGAUACAUAGCCGACCUGAGAGGGUGAUCGGCCACACUGGGACUGAGACACGGCCCAGACUCCUACGGGAGGCAGCAGUAGGGAAUCUUCGGCAAUGGGGGCAACCCUGACCGAGCAACGCCGCGUGAGUGAAGAAGGUUUUCGGAUCGUAAAGCUCUGUUGUAAGUCAAGAACGAGUGUGAGAGUGGAAAGUUCACACUGUGACGGUAGCUUACCAGAAAGGGACGGCUAACUACGUGCCAGCAGCCGCGGUAAUACGUAGGUCCCGAGCGUUGUCCGGAUUUAUUGGGCGUAAAGCGAGCGCAGGCGGUUUGAUAAGUCUGAAGUUAAAGGCUGUGGCUCAACCAUAGUUCGCUUUGGAAACUGUCAAACUUGAGUGCAGAAGGGGAGAGUGGAAUUCCAUGUGUAGCGGUGAAAUGCGUAGAUAUAUGGAGGAACACCGGUGGCGAAAGCGGCUCUCUGGUCUGUAACUGACGCUGAGGCUCGAAAGCGUGGGGAGCGAACAGGAUUAGAUACCCUGGUAGUCCACGCCGUAAACGAUGAGUGCUAGGUGUUGGAUCCUUUCCGGGAUUCAGUGCCGCAGCUAACGCAUUAAGCACUCCGCCUGGGGAGUACGACCGCAAGGUUGAAACUCAAAGGAAUUGACGGGGGCCCGCACAAGCGGUGGAGCAUGUGGUUUAAUUCGAAGCAACGCGAAGAACCUUACCAGGUCUUGACAUCCCGAUGCUAUUUCUAGAGAUAGAAAGUUACUUCGGUACAUCGGUGACAGGUGGUGCAUGGUUGUCGUCAGCUCGUGUCGUGAGAUGUUGGGUUAAGUCCCGCAACGAGCGCAACCCCUAUUGUUAGUUGCCAUCAUUCAGUUGGGCACUCUAGCGAGACUGCCGGUAAUAAACCGGAGGAAGGUGGGGAUGACGUCAAAUCAUCAUGCCCCUUAUGACCUGGGCUACACACGUGCUACAAUGGUUGGUACAACGAGUUGCGAGUCGGUGACGGCAAGCUAAUCUCUUAAAGCCAAUCUCAGUUCGGAUUGUAGGCUGCAACUCGCCUACAUGAAGUCGGAAUCGCUAGUAAUCGCGGAUCAGCACGCCGCGGUGAAUACGUUCCCGGGCCUUGUACACACCGCCCGUCACACCACGAGAGUUUGUAACACCCGAAGUCGGUGAGGUAACCUUUUGGAGCCAGCC
rnacentral:rRNA from 1 species